UUAAGACGAAAUCAUACAAUUGAAAGUGAAAGUGAAGGAAGCUUAAAUAUCUUAAAGGCUAAUAUUUUGAUGGCAGAAGAUCAAGUGAAUAUUGAAAAUUAAAUGUGUCGCCGACUCUCUACACGAAUAUCACUUUUCUAAGUACUAGUGCCGCAGGAGAUAGUUUAAUCGACAUAUAGUAGACCCCUGCUGCCCCAGUGCUUAUCAAAGUGAUUCUAGUGACAACUAUUUAACUAUUUAAAAGCAGCUUCAAUCUAAAAAAAAAAAUUGCUUAAAAAGAAAAUAAAUUAAUUCAAAUAUGACGAAAGAUAAAAAGUGGAUUAAAAUGUGUAACAGUGAAAACUAAGGCCCAAUUUCAGAUGAGCAAUUUAAGUGCCGAUUGAUGAUUAGAUAUUCAUUUUCGGAUCAAAUAUUUAAACUGUAUUUACAUGCCCAAUGUCGGCUAUUUAAAAAUGUAAAAUGCACACUCGCUUCUCGACUAAAUAGCAACUGAUAACUCAAAAUAAAACCAAAAUAAUUAUAUAAAAAGCAAAAGUGAUUGAAAUUAAAAAUUAAAAUAAAUUCGAGUGACCAAAGUGACAUGGAAUGCGCGAUUCUAUAGCCCGUCAUUACAACUCGACGUCCACGGUCUAUAAAAGGUGCGCCAAUUCGUUUCAGAGACUUCGGCGAAAAGGAUUUGCGGGACAGAUUCAGUGGAAUCAAAGCGACAGUAUGGGUGGUGUAGACGAUGAUACCGGAUAAAAUUUAACAUAAAAAACAUGGAAUAAUGCUCUAGCUCCCGAAGAAAUGCUUCAGCUGACUUUGCGAUUCCAUGCCACGGGUUGCAUGUAAAGGACUGGAGGGGACUUAAUCGGAGUUUCUCUCAGCACUGCUUCCCAAGUUAUAAGGUUAGUUUCGAACCAUAUAGCUUUACUACGAGCGCAGUUUAUUUCAUUUCUGACAAAACGGCCGAAGAGCUAAGAUAGAUAAGUAAGAAAAAUUUUAUUUGGUAGGGAUACUUUCUCGCUUCCAAGCGACUUUAGACUGAACGCAUGUAAAUAUAUUAUCACAAGAUCAGUAUCAGAGCAUAAAAAUUAAUAACCAAAAACAUAAAAAUAAAAUAGUUUUGAAAUGCUUUAUAUGUACAUAAAUGGAAAAGUUCCUUAUUUAGACUGAUGUAUAAAUGUACUUUUUAUAGGCGGCCAUGAUGCGGAGUUAUACCGCAAAGUCCAAAGAACUGACCUUAUUCAACAGCGUCUGAAAUAUAUUGGAUGGAGUACAAACGAUGCCACAAUACUUCGUAACUCGCGUAUUUAUAUGCGCUUCGAACGGGUGAAUUCGGGAAUUCAAUGGUUGUAGCAGACAACGGUCUUCCCUGUAAUCACUGGAUAAUGACAACGAUAUUCAAUGUUCGUACUCCAGUAGAGGCGCUGUACGCUGUGCGAAUCCCAGACUCGAACGAGAAACCAGGACGCAAAUACAGUAUGCGACAGCAACUGCGACGACCAGCAGCAUGUUAUCAUACACGUAACACAAUAACAAAGCAAAAGCAUUAGCAAAAUGUUUAUUUAAGUUAUUUAACUUAAACUUCAAGUUAAAUUAAGCAAACAAUGGAAAAAAUAAAGAAGUGACAGUUCCAGUGGUAGCGAGAGGAAGAUUAGGCCUCUAAAAGCUGCAUACAGCAAUGGAAACUAACAGACAAUGCAACACCACUACAUACUAAGUUGCAUACACAGCAGCUACUGUGGUCAUAAUAAAAACAUAACAAUAUCAACAACAACAACAACAAACAAACGAAGCAGGCGCUUUAGAGCCAUUUGUUAAAGGAUCUUGAGGUAAAUAUUUAAAGUAGAAACAACAACAAUCAUUAAGGGCAGUUAGCAAAGGAAAAGAGUGCGUACAUCACAACUGCUGCUCUAACAGCCCGCAACGAGAGUAAUAACUAUUCGAGGAAUAUCUACAAAACAACAGUAACCAGCGUACAUGAUAAUAUUAGUAAAAACAACAAUAGUAAAUGUAACUAAGCAUAAGAGCAUGUGUACAAAGGCAAAGAUCAACGACAACAAACGAUAACAACCAGGCAAACAACAAGGCAGCCAAACAAGCAAGGCAAAGAUGCUUUAAAAUGUACACACACUGCGUAUACGUAAUGUCGAAUUCACGUGUGUGUUUUGUGCACCACCCGAAAAACAUGUGUGCAUAUGGCCUGUCUGUAUAUUGUACAUACAUACCUACAUAUGUGUCCCUGUACCGUCAUAUGAACAUAGAUAUAUAUGUAUGCAUAAAAUGGUAUGAUAACAUAUAUAUAUAUAUAUUACAAAAACCGCAAUUAGGUUAAUGUCCCAACGGUGUUAACAAGCCCGAUAACUCAAACAAAAGGCAGCUCAGCGAGCCAAAACUGAGAUAUGUUUGUUUUUUUUUAUAAAAAUAAAACUUAGAAGAUAAUAAUUUCUAUCGCAUUUAAAAAAAUUUGAAUUCAUAAAGCUUUGGAAUGACAGUAUUUAAUAAAAGUAGAAAUAUGGCAGCGUCAAUAAUAAGCAUUCUUCUCACCCAGCAGCUAAAUUGAAUCGAAAAAAUACGAGUCGCUUAAACUUAAGUUUGGGUCGUAGAUUACGGAUCUAUCUGCAGUGAAUGAAAAAAGUAAGUGCGCAAUAAUACUCUUGGUAGUAAAAUCUAUUGGAA